AUUUUUCUUUAAUCUAAUUAAGAUUAAUUCAUUUAACCAAAGUAGAGAAAAUAGAACUGGUGUCAAAAGGGCUUUGAUUUCCCAUUACCCAUUAAUCUACCUGAUUUUUCUCAGAACUUUUUUUUUUUCCAUACAAUAACUUCAUGUGAUGCUUACAAAUGUAAGUAAUUUAUUUUUAGUUUUAUUUUCAGUUUUAUUUUUGUUGUCAACAUGAAGAAUCCUCUUUGAACUUCACUUCUCACAAUUGUACUUCUAACCAGUGGUACUUCUAAUAAGCAUCAUGUACUUGCCCUAAACCUCCACCACCCACUUUGUACAGAUAUUUAAUUAAGAAGAAAAAUGUGACAGGAGGGAAGAUGCUUUGGAAGGACAAGUCAAGGAUUAGAAUUGCCUUGAAGGCUGCUAAUCUUAAUGUAACGGAUGAGGCCAAAACCCAUCUGCAUCUUCACGUUAGAUGAGGACAAAAUCCUUGUUUUUGUUGUUUAGAUGAGCACAUUUCCAGACACUCCACAAAGUAAGAUCUGGUCACAUGUGCAACAACUAACUUACUGCCUCCAUUCAGUAGCAUCCAGCUUCAGUCACUAGAAGCUUCUGAUCCAUCCAGAGUGCCGUCGCUAUGGCGAAACAGUCUAACACUAUGAAAACAUCUGGUAGGCUAGUUAGUUGGAAGCCUAGAAAACACACACUUGUAGUAUUCAAAGUUUUCCUUCAAAAAACAACAGGAGGAGGAGGGCCUGGUGAUGGAGUUUGUAGGUGGGAUCUUAACUUCUCCGCGAAUCCUUCAACUGGGAAUUUUAACGAGAGAGACUUGUUACCGCUGUGGUGGUGCUUCCCCAAAAAUACAGACAACAGUGGUUCGGAUCACUGGACGGCGGAGGGGACUGUGCUUCAGAAAUCAAGACAUAAGCAAUCUUUUUAUAUCCGCUCAGAAGGUUCAAAAGGGUUGCGUUCUCCCAAAAGUCAGCACCGAACCAGGUGACGGAGCUCAUGUGUAUUAAAAAAAAAAAAAAAAAAAAAAAAAAAAGGAAGAAAAAAAAAAGUACUGAUACAACGUCCUUGAGUAGGGUCCUCAAGAUGCUCUACCGUUGUGCCGAUCUAAGAGCAGCCGAGCAGCUGACGAAGGAAGCUCGUUGGGGAGUUUGCAUCCCGAAUCCAUGGAAGAGGCCGAAUUCCUGCGUCUGGUUCCCGGCUCCUCUGGUUUGGGGUCUUCUGAGAGACUUGAAUGGCAGUAGACGCUGCGGUUUCAACUGUUUUGUGGGGUGGAGUGGUUGAGACAACCAUAUCUGGUCCAUUUUGGAAUUUGGCAUCUGAGUUGCUUGAUUUCCCGAAUUUCCUCACACCCGAGCCUGUGAAGGAGGAGAAUGGAGCUGUUGGGUGCACUCGGAAGUCCACCACAGUGGCUAUCACUCAUUGUUCCGCCUUUCAGGCGGCCUAGAAAGAGACUCUGGAAAAAUUUCAAGAUGUGCAGCAGUUGUUCCCAGCUCAACCCAUCUCAGGCUUUGUGUGCACUUCCACCAAUGUGUGUACAAGAGUUAGAUACGCAUGCUGCGAGAGCCAGAGCUAAUUGAGCAUAUUCAUCACGGAGAAGGGAAAGUUCGUGAGAUUUGAAAUGAUCGAAAAUUAGCGGAAGUGCUCAGAUGCGCAGGGUUAGAAAGUAAUCAACUGCUUCCAUCUACUUCUGUGCUUUGUAGGAGUUAGUGCUGGAGACCUCUGAUGAAAUGAUGCAAAUCGUUACAGGAGCGUGCAGGAAAAUUGUGUUCAUACCCACUAUCAACUGAGUAGGAAAGUGAAGUUUCAUUAGAUAGCCUUCCAAGAUUAUCUGCAGGUGAAGGUAGUAGGGGCUACUUCCGUUAAAUUAAGCAAUUCAGCUGGUUUGAUGUGCACAAGGUUGAUGGUUAAAGUGGAAGUGGAAAUUGAAGACUGAACAAGUUUUUUUUUUU